AUUGAACGCUAGCGGGAUGCUUUACACAUGCAAGUCGAACGGAGUGGCGGACGGGUGAGUAAUAUAUCGGAACGUGCCCAGUAGCGGGGGAUAACUACUUGAAAGAGUGGCUAAUACCGCAUACUAUUGAAGCGGCCGAUAUCGGAUUAGCUGGUUGGUGGGGUAAAGGCUCACCAAGGCAACGAUCCGUAGCUGGUUCGAGAGGACGACAAGCCACACUGGGACUGAGACGCGGCCCAGACGCCUACGGGAAGCAGCAGUAGGGAAUUUUGGACAAUGGGGGAAACCCUGAUCCAGCCAUCCCGCGUGUAUGAUGAAGGCCUUCGGGGUGUAAAGUACUUUUGGCAGAGGAGCGGUAUCUGCGGAAAAAGCACCGGCUAACUACGUGCCAGCAGCCGCGGUAAUUC
rnacentral:rRNA from 1 species